rnacentral:tRNA from 1 species
AGAAGUUUAGGUUAACCAGACUAAACCAAGGACCUUCAAAGUCCUAAAAAGAGGUGCAACUCUAACUUCUG